GCCCAGGAGGCAUUCGUCACCAACCAACCUGUCCUCUGCCUAGAGAGGAUGGCGCUUGCUGCCCGGUCGUCUGUGCGCUCCCUGGUGCUGCUCGUGUCGCACGGGAGGCCACAGCUGAGCUCAUUCUUCUCCUCCUCCGCCGCCGCCCAUCCCAGGAGCUGAUACUCCUCCGGCCGCUGCAGCCGUCCAGACCCCAGCUCCGCCAGAUCGUCCACGCACCAAGCAGGAAGAGACUGUUGUUCACCCACUCCCUGGGGUGCCACGCCCGCGCCCACGCCCACCCCCACGCCCACCUCAGGCCGUUAAAGAUGUAGCCGGCAAGGUUUAUCCGAACGCCCCAGAAGAUCCUAGUAGUGCACACCCAACUCCUGAUCAGGGUUCAUCUAGCACACUUGAACCUGUAUUUCACAUCUUUGAAGAUCCUCGACACCGGCUUGUUGAUCCACCGGGUCGACCUCCACUUCCAGCCGUUAAAAGUGCAGCCGGCAAGGCUUAUCUGGACGCCCCCGAAGAUCCCACCACACACCCAGCUCCUAAUACUGGUUCAUGUAACGCAUCUGAACCUGUAUCUGCUGGCAUCUUCGAAGAUCCUCGACACCCAGUUCCUGAUCCAUCAGCUAGGGGGCGUAGCGCCAUGACCGACGGCGACGAGCCUGCGCAGUGCACCGAGGAGCAUCCUAAGUACCCAGUUCCCGACAGUUCAACUGACGAGGGCCCUGUUGAGGAACAUCCUGCAUACGCUACUCCUGGUUACGGUUCAUGUAGCACACCUAAGCCUGUGCCUGAGAAACCUCCCUCCGGCACCUACGAAGAUGUUAAGCAGCGGGAUGUUGAUCCACCACGCCCCGCGCGCGAAGGCGUUGGACACCAAGUUCCUGAUCCGCCAGGUAGGGGGAGUAGCGCUUUGCCCGAGGCCAGAGCAGUGCACCCAGGGCCCUCCGAAAUACCCAGCCCUGGACAGUUCCAAGUGACGACAUCCUUCAGACUGAAGUCAUAGGUACGAACUAGAUCCUAGUAUCCUACUGCUAUUGUAUAGCAUCGGAGAAAAAACUGGGCAGCUUCCCUUUGGCUUCUCCCUGUACUGGGCUAUAUAUACUGUAGACUCGUAAUUUUAUUUGGGAUGAAGUGAUCCAAAUUCUAUCGUGUUAUACUAACAUAGUACAAACGGUGUGGACGUUGCGUCGAUGUGUACUUGUCCUCCAAAGAUUGUUAUGUAUUGCCUCUCAUAUAUAUAUACCUCAUGUAGUCUCAUCUAAAA